rnacentral:sRNA from 1 species
GCUGGGUGUGGUGGUGCAUGCCUGUAAUCCUAGUGGCUUGGGAGGCUGAGGCAGGAGAAUCACAAAUUCAAAACCAGCUUCAACAAUUUAGUGAAGCACCAAGCAACUCAGUGAGACCCUGUCUCUA